rnacentral:rRNA from 1 species
CUGGGCGUAAAGCGCACGCAGGCGGUCUGUCAAGUCGGAUGUGAAAUCCCCGGGCUCAACCUGGGAACUGCAUUCGAAACUGGCAGGCUGGAGUCUUGUAGAGGGGGGUAGAAUUCCAGGUGUAGCGGUGAAAUGCGUAGAGAUCUGGAGGAAUACCGGUGGCGAAGGCGGCCCCCUGGACAAAGACUGACGCUCAGGUGCGAAAGCGUGGGGAGCAAACAGGAUUAGAUACCCUGGUAGUCCACGCUGUAAACGAUGUCGACUUGGAGGUUGUUCCCUUGAGGAGUGGCUUCCGGAGCUAACGCGUUAAGUCGACCGCCUGGGGAGUACGGCCGCAAGGUUAAAACUCAAAGGAAUUGACGG